AUUGAACGCUGGCGGCAGGCCUAACACAUGCAAGUCGAGCGAGCUGCGGACGGGUGAGUAAUGUAUGGGGACUGCCCGAUAGAGGGGGAUAACCACUGGAAAAGGUAGCUAAUACCCCACACUAUCUCAUAACCCAUAUGGGAUUAGCUCGUAGGUGGGGUAAUGGCUCACCUAGGCGCCGAUCCCUAGCUGGUCUGAGAGGAUGAUCAGCCACACUGGGACUGGGACACGGCCCGGACUCCUACGGUGGCAGCAGUGGGGAAUAUUGCACAAUGGGCGCAAGCCUGAUGCAGCCAUGCCGCGUGUAUGAAGAAGGCCCUAGGGUUGUAAAGUACUUUCAGUCGGGAGGCGUUACCGACAGAAGAAGCACCGGCUAACUCCGUGCCAGCCGCCGCGGUAAUAC
rnacentral:rRNA from 1 species